GCCAUAGCUCAGUGGUAGAACAUCUGUUCUGCAUGCAGAAUACCUCUGGUUCAAUCCCUGGUAUCUCCA